rnacentral:rRNA from 1 species
CUCAGGAUGAACGCUGGCGGUAUGCUUAACACAUGCAAGUCGAACGAACUCUUCGGAGUUAGUGGCGGACGGGUGAGUAACGCGUGAGAAUCUACCUCAAGGACGGGGACAACAUCAGGAAACUGGUGCUAAUACCCGAUAAGCUGAAAAGUGAAAGAUUUAUUGCCGAGAGAGGAGCUCGCGUCCGAUUAGCUAGUUGGAAGGGUAAAAGCCUACCAAGGCGACGAUCGGUAGCUGGUCUGAGAGGAUGAUCAGCCACACUGGGACUGAGACACGGCCCAGACUCCUACGGGAGGCAGCAGUGGGGAAUUUUCCGCAAUGGGCGAAAGCCUGACGGAGCAAUACCGCGUGAGGGAAGAAGGCUUUUGGGUUGUAAACCUCUUUUGUCAGGGAAGAAGAAUUGACGGUACCUGAAGAAAAAGCAUCGGCUAACUCCGUGCCAGCAGCCGCGGUAAUACGGAGGAUGCAAGCGUUAUCCGGAAUCAUUGGGCGUAAAGGGUCCGCAGGUGGCGAAUAAAGUCUGCUGUUAAAGACCGGGGCUUAACUCCGGAAAGGCAGUGGAAACUGAUUAGCUAGAGUACGGUAGGGGUAGAGGGAAUUCCCAGUGUAGCGGUGAAAUGCGUAGAUAUUGGGAAGAACACCGGUGGCGAAAGCGCUCUACUAGGCCGAAACUGACACUGAGGGACGAAAGCUAGGGUAGCGAAAAGGGAUUAGAUACCCCUGUAGUCUUAGCGGUAAACGAUGGAUACUAGGUGUAGCUUGUAUCGACCCGAGCUGUGCCGAAGCUAACGCGAUAAGUAUCCCGCCUGGGGAGUACGCACGCAAGUGUGAAACUCAAAGGAAUUGACGGGGGCCCGCACAAGCGGUGGAGUAUGUGGUUUAAUUCGAUGCAACGCGAAGAACCUUACCAGGGCUUGACAUGUCGCGAAUCUAGCGGAAACGUUAGAGUGCCUUAGGGAAUGCGAACACAGGUGGUGCAUGGCUGUCGUCAGCUCGUGUCGUGAGAUGUUGGGUUAAGUCCCGCAACGAGCGCAACCCUCGUCCUUAGUUGCCAAUAUUAAGUUAGGCACUCUAGGGAUACUGCCGGGGACAACUCGGAGGAAGGUGGGGAUGACGUCAAGUCAGCAUGCCCCUUACGUCCUGGGCUACACACGUACUACAAUGGUUGGGACAAAGGGCAGCAAGCUCGCGAGAGUAAGCGAAUCUCAUCAAACCCAGCCACAGUUCAGAUUGCAGGCUGCAACUCGCCUGCAUGAAGUAGGAAUCGCUAGUAAUCGCAGGUCAGCAUACUGCGGUGAAUUCGUUCCCGGGCCUUGUACACACCGCCCGUCACACCAUGGAAGCUGGCUACGCCCGAAGUCGUUACCCUAACCCGGUUUUGGGAGGGGGAUGCCGAAGGUAGAGCUAGUGACUGGGGUGAAGUCGUA